GUGUUCGAAAUUUUCUUCUAAAUCACCAUGAUUCUGCUAAAAAAAAUUAGUGGAUCAAAUUAUCAAUCCUCUGCUACGAUCAAGGGUAAUUACAGUAGAUUGGAGUAAAGAUUGGAUCCGGCACUGAAGGACUUCAAGAAGUGGCUUAUUUUAUUAAUUAAAUAAACUUAAGAAAUAUGGUUUUUGGGUUUAUCCCUUAUUAAAAGAUACCUUUGUAAAACAUGAAUUUAUUCCAUCUAUU
rnacentral:lncRNA from 1 species